rnacentral:rRNA from 1 species
UACGAAGGGGGCUAGCGUUGUUCGGAUUUACUGGGCGUAAAGCGCACGUAGGCGGAUCUUUAAGUCAGAGGUGAAAUCCCAAGGCUCAACCUUGGAACUGCCUUUGAUACUGGGGAUCUCGAGUCCGGGAGAGGUGAGUGGAACUGCGAGUGUAGAGGUGAAAUUCGUAGAUAUUCGCAAGAACACCAGUGGCGAAGGCGGCUCACUGGCCCGGAACUGACGCUGAGGUGCGAAAGCGUGGGGAGCGAACAGG